rnacentral:tRNA from 2 species
UCGGAGAUCGUCUAACGGUAGGACAACAGGUUCUGGUUCUGUUAAUCGGGGUUCGAUUCCCUGUCUCCGAACCA